rnacentral:rRNA from 1 species
UACGAAGGGGGCUAGCGUUGUUCGGAAUUACUGGGCGUAAAGCGCACGUAGGCGGAUAUUUAAGUCAGGGGUGAAAUCCCAGAGCUCAACUCUGGAACUGCCUUUGAUACUGGGUAUCUUGAGCAUGGAAGAGGUAAGUGGAAUUGCGAGUGUAGAGGUGAAAUUCGUAGAUAUUCGCAAGAACACCAGUGGCGAAGGCGGCUCACUGGCCCGGUACUGACGCUGAGGUGCGAAAGCGUGGGGAGCAAACAGG